AGAAGGGAAGUAGAAAUGAUCCAGUCUACAUUUUCGACACUUGGUAAAUAAAUCUUAGAAAUUUAGCCUUCAUACAGGUAAGCCAGAGCAAAACUCCUCGUGAGAUAAACAAUAUCAUAUUGUACUACAGAUAAUAAACACUGCAAAUUUAAUAACAACCUUUGAGGCCACACGCUCGAGAUAGCCUUUUGCUAGUUUCCCCCAAAACCAUAUAAAUAAUCGUGAUUAAAUGGUUUCUUACCCAAUUGGGACUUCACACCCUGGCUAAUUUCUUGUAGUUUAUACUUCAGUAUAAUAGUCAAGUAAAGAUUUGAUAAACUAGUAGACAAUUAUUUUGAUUAUAGAUUAUGGAUCAUAUUAUAAAUUUUAUUAUACAAGUUUUUUUACUUCUUUUAUUAUU
rnacentral:lncRNA from 1 species